UACGUAGGGUGCAAGCGUUUAAUCGGAAUUACUGGGCGUAAAGCGUGCGCAGGCGGUUGUGCAAGACAGAUGUGAAAUCCCCGGGCUCAACCUGGGAAUUGCAUUUGUGACUGCACGGCUAGAGUGUGUCAGAGGGGGGUAGAAUUCCACGUGUAGCAGUGAAAUGCGUAGAGAUAUGGAGGAAUACCGAUGGCGAAGGCAGCCCCCCUGGGAUAACACUGACGCUCAUGCACAGAAAGCGUGGGGAGCAAACAGG
rnacentral:rRNA from 1 species